GGGAAUAUUGCGCAAUGGGCGAAAGCCUGACGCAGCCAUGCCGCGUGCAGGAUGAAGGCCUUCUGGGUUGUAAACUGCUUUUUUACGGGAAGAAAAAACUCUUGCGAGAGGAACUGACGGUACCGUAAGAAUAAGCACCGGCUAACUCCGUGCCAGCAGCCGCGGUAAUACGGAGGGUGCAAGCGUUGUCCGGAUUUAUUGGGUUUAAAGGGUGCGUAGGCGGCCCGUUAAGUCAGUGGUGAAAGCCAACAGCUCAACUGUUGAACUGCCAUUGAUACUGACGGGCUUGAGUACAGACGAGGUAGGCGGAAUUGAAGAUGUAGCGGUGAAAUGCAUAGAUAUCUUCAAGAACACCGAUUGCGUAGGCAGCUUACUAGGCUGUAACUGACGCUGAGGCACGAAAGCGUGGGGAGCGAA
rnacentral:rRNA from 1 species